CAAUUACACCCUGACAACCUGCUAAUCACCCUAUGUGGCCUGCCAGCCCCUGCACAAAGCCACAAAACCCCAAGAUGAACCAGCCUUCACCCCGACAGACACCAUGCAGGAAAGCCAUUGUGUUGGGUGCUCCCUGAUGAACGCUUGUAGUGACUUUAGACAUUAAGUUGGCAGAAAACCUGGGGCCUUUACAAUCACUCUCCAGACCCUCUUCUCAGGGAAGAGGAAUACGCAGGAAGGACAAAGGGCCACCGUGCACUGUGCAGGAGGCGGGGAUGUACAUAGUGGCGUGCAUCAAGGGGGCUCGAGGCCAAAAAACAUGAAGACAGGUGCCCCCAGCCCACGCUGCCAGCUUCCUGAGAGAAGGGGGCCUGGAAGAAGUCAGGCUUGGCUCUCAGGGGGUCAGGAGGCCCCACAGUUGUCCCCCUUUAGAGUAAAAUAGCGAGGAUGUGAAGCGCAGGCCUCCACACCCCAUCUACCUGCUUGCUGUCAAGGCCCCGGCGGUCCCGCCUCCAGGCCCGGCCCUUCUGUCUGGGUUUCAGGCAGAAAAAAAGCCCGAUGGCCAGGGAGCGCGGCCCAGGCGGCUCCUGACAUUUCCAAGCUCCUGGUCAAACCACACUGCAGAGAUACAAGGAAAACCACCACUUUGGUUCCCAAGUUUUAUUCAAGAACUCAUACAAAAUAUCCCAGGUAAGUGAGUUUAAUCCUCAUCUUCCUCCUCCUCUUCGUCCUGGUUAAUCUGGAAGUAACGUAAUUCGUAACUCUCUUUGCUGUUAGCAACCACGCGCAACCAGUCACGUAGAUUGUUCUUCUUCAAAUAUUUUUUGGUGAGAUAUUUCAAAUACCUGCGGAGAAAGGACACUUGAGAACUCCGAACACGCCGCAGCCGCCACGCCCCAGGCGCCGCCCCUCCCUCCACCCGGGCGCCGGCAGGGCCCAUCCACCCGCCGCUGCAGGGGACCUCCAGCUGCUUCAGCCAAGCUGCCACCGAACAUGCCAACGGGAGGGCCCGGGGCUUCCAUCCCCUCAGACGGCCCCAGGACCAAAGACGGCGAGAUGGGCACCAGACGGGCCCGCAGUCAGCACCGGACGCCCCGAGCCCACCUGCACAGGGCACCACACAGCCGACAGCCUCGCCAACUGCACCCACGCCUGCCCACGCACAGACCAACACCCUGGAUGUCCCACGUAAAGAGUAUCUUCUGCUCAAUUACUCCAUCUCCCGCGGCGCUCAGGGCGGGGACGCAAAGUGCAGGUGGCCUGAACAUCCGUGUUCGACUCGGGCCCAGGCCGAAGCCGGGGCGCAGGGCAACGCGAGAGCGGGAACACCGGAAGGCCUCAAGGAAGUGAAACGACUAUCCUCAAAAAAGGAGCAUUUACUGCGCAGGGGCGCCUGCCCUCGCCACUGUGUGAGGAAGGCCUGGGAGGCCGAGGUGGGGCAUCGGGGCGCUCUGCGUGAGCUCGCCCCGCUCCAUCGCCCUCCUCACAGGAACCGCAGCUCAGUCAGACCGCGCGCGCAGGAGCCGCCACCCUGACGUCGGAAGUCAUCUCGUGAGUGACAGAGUUAAAAAUAAAAGCAAAGGCUUCAUCGCAAGCGAGCGGUCCUAACCCACAUUCAAACGUCCCCACUAUCUGAUUCAGUUGGAUUAAACCCCCCUAAGACUGUGCCAGGGCUGGGCUAGGGCCGGGCAUAAACCCAUCUAAUUCCAGAGUGACUUGGGGUUUUAAUCUCACCCUCGACACAGCUCUGCAACGCGCCGAGGCGGCGAGAAGCGGCCUCAGUCCACUGAGACGAGGGGGCGGGCCACAGGGCAGGCCAGCCCCUCGCUGGGGUGGGAGACGGAGGCGGCAACGCCUUCAUUUUUAAGAGCACGGCCCCAACUAGCCUGAGCGUCCUGACGGCUUAAAAUACUACAGCCUGUGGAAAACCAACCUUUGCACACUACCCCAGGAACCGCCACAGUGACGCUGGCUCGCUCACGGAGUCCUUUCUGGGCACUGUUCCAGAAAGUACCAGAGGCGACCACGAAGCAAACUCCUCAAGGCAGCCACCUCCUGGCCGGGUGAGGGCAACAAAAGCACCUGGAGGCCGCAGGUAACUCCCUCUCCCUACCUUUUGGAGAAAGGCACCUCGGAAGUUACGGUGAUCUUGCUCUUGCUCCGUUCUAUGGUCACGGCCCCUCCACCGAGAUUCCCGGCCUUCCCGUUCACUUUGAUGCGCUCCUGAAGAAACUGCUCCUGUGAAGGCGUCAUGUGGAGCAGUCAGUGGGGAGUGGGGUGGCGGGGUCCCGGCCCCCAGCCCCCCAUAAGGCUUUUUCACACUCUAAACACUGA